rnacentral:rRNA from 1 species
GACGAACGCUGGCGGCGUGCUUAACACAUGCAAGUCGAACGGUGAAAGGGAGCUUGCUCCCUGGAUCAGUGGCGAACGGGUGAGUAACACGUGGGCAACCUGCCCCAGACUUCGGGAUAACGCUUCGAAAGAGGUGCUAAUACCGGAUACGAACUCCUUGGGCAUCCUUGGAGUUGGAAAGUUUUUCGGUCUGGGAUGGGCCCGCGGCCUAUCAGCUUGUUGGUGUGGUAACGGCUCACCAAGGCGACGACGGGUAGCCGGCCUGAGAGGGCGACCGGCCACACUGGGACUGAGACACGGCCCAGACUCCUACGGGAGGCAGCAGUGGGGAAUAUUGCGCAAUGGGCGGAAGCCUGACGCAGCAACGCCGCGUGAGGGAUGACGGCCUUCGGGUUGUAAACCUCUUUCAGCAGGGAAGAAGCGAAAGUGACGGUACCUGCAGAAGAAGCACCGGCUAACUACGUGCCAGCCGCCGCCGUAAAAC